UGUUAAAAAUUCUAUCCAUUUCUAUUAUUAAAAAUUAGUAUGAGCGACAAAAUAAUCAAACAGUUACACCUGGGGUGUCACGUGUACCUCAUUUUAAUAUAUAAGGACUAAUUUUUAACAAUAGAAAUUGAUAGAUUUUUAAUA
rfam:Gossypium hirsutum cultivar TM-1 chromosome 15, whole genome shotgun sequence